AUGACAUCUCUGGCAGGAGUCACAAUUUCACACAAAAACUUUCUUGUAAAAAACUUUACACUUUGCUUCCCCUGGUGGAAUCACUGUCUCCAGGGAAAACUUGAGUCUCAAACGACAAUUCUGUUAAUGAAAGUGCAAGCUAAGAGCUAAACCCAGCAGCCCUGGCUUCUCCAAGGAGGAGUCUUUGUCUUCAAAUGGCUUUUUAUGGGUGAAGUCAUGACAGAUAAGAAUGCUUCUAGAUUUUUUUCCUGUUUUUAAAGCAUAAAAAAAAUUAUAAAAUUUCUCAAGUUAAAAAAAAACUAUAAUCAAAUAUGGUUUCUACUCCUACAACUUAAUAGUGUUCUCUGUAGCCAAAAUACUCUAGUAUUUGCCAUUUAUAUGAAAUUGGAGAUAAGGGGUGGUCAAUAGAGAGAGGGCUGGCAGAGAUUAUUGGUUUUAAAUGAUUUAUUACUGAAAAAGUUUGAUUAGGAGAAUCAGUGCUUCCAAACUGCAAAAGGUGCCAUAUAUAUAUAUAUAUAUAUAUAUAUAUAUAUAUAUAUAUAUUGCCAUAUACAUAUAUAUGCACAGAUGUGCCAUAUAUAUAUAUAUAUAUAUAUAUAUAUAUGAAUUUACAGAAACAAGAGCAAGAUGAUUAUUAGCCAUCCUUGCUAGCAGAGAAAAGUAAAAGCACUCCAAUAUUAAAGACUAAAGUUAUCAGCUUUACUUCAAUUUGUAUGUCACACAUGCUCUUUAUACAGCCACAAAUACAAAGGUCAGGAUUCAAACCACAGGAUGUUUGAUGCUGGACCUCAGAGUGUGACCUACAUAGAAAAGAUUUCCAGAGCAUAUGUGUUGAUAAUCAUAGUGAUGAGAUGGUGUCAAAGAUUAAGAAGAUGAGAUAAUGCAGAGGACAUGUUUAUUCCCCAGGGAAGAGGGAGGAUCUCGGAGCAUGAAAGACCAGAUUUAUGAAGCUUCAGUUCCUUCUUCAACAGCACUGAAGAGAGAAAGGCAGUUCAAGUCUGUCCCAUGGGCUUUGUCAUAUAAAAAUAGCUAAUUACUAUCAGCUUGAAAUAAGCAAACCAAUGAUCAUUCCUAAGCUCUUGACCGCACUAUUUUUUAUUUGUGAAAUUAUGCACAUCUUGCAGGGAACUUUAGGAAAACCUUUACAAUUCACCAUUUCACAAGCCCAAAGUUACCUCCUCCCUUUUUGCAAGGUUUGAAAACCCAAAAGUCUGCCUGUAACAAUUUGAACUAGCAUUUUCCCACCAGUGUGUGUGUUCAAGAACCCCUAGAGGGACUACAAUAAUCAGAUGUCAAAUAUGUGAGUUAGUAAGAGGAAGAAAGCAGCAGUGUGGAGAAAUAGCAACCCAGAUAAUCCAAUAGUUGUAAGCUCUUAAAUUUUAACUGUUAAUUUCAACUGCUACCCCCAGCAUUUCACAGCAUGUUCUUGCUUUUAAAUAAAAUCAAUAACAAGAAAUGAGAUGGGCAAAAGAAAGAAGCAGGAAAAAAAUAUUCAGGAGAAAUAAUGACUUUGUAAUGUCCCCAUGUCAAAAGAACAAUCCUUCAUAGUGAGAAUGGCAUGAGUUUUGGAUUAAGAUAUAGACCAAUGUUUGAAUCCUGUGUCCAGUUACAGGCUGGGCAAUUCACCUGAUUCCUCUGACCCUUCAUUUCCUCAUUUCUUAAGUGGGAUAAUUACACCUAAUGCAUAAGAUUUUUUGAGAAGGUACAAAGGAGAAGCUCAAAAACUCUAAGUAUCAUCCAACCACCAACAAGGUUCGUUAUGUGGGUUUCUUUGAGGCUGUGAGUGGAUGUGAAUUUCUGCAGCUAGUUUCUGCCAGAGGGUCUGAGUGUGCAAGAGGUGGUGAGGUAGGAGGUAUGUGCAGGCUCCUCUGCUCCUCAUCACCACUGGAGGAGUUUCUUGGCUGCAGCUAAGCCUUCAUUGAGAUGAUCUGCAUCGCUCACAUAUCCAGCAGGGUAGAGGAAGCCUGAAAUUCUCUCCUCAGCCAGCCUGGUACCUUAUCUGCUCUGCUUACUCCUAGAGUGUCGUCUUGGGAAUAGCAUCAUUUGGGAAUAACAAGACGCCUUGUAGCUAACCCCAUAUUUCUUUUUAACCCACUCAAUUUAUCUUCUACUGAGAAGCAGAAUAGCCAGGAGUAAGGAGAACAGGUUUUAAAGUUAGACCUCUUUCUUUUCUUUUCUUUAAUUCGUGCAUUAUAGUUUCGCAUAAUGGUGCAACUUCUUGUUACAUAUUUGUACAGGCAUAUGAUAUAACAAUAUAAUUUGGCCAGUAGCAUUCCCCAGUAUUUCCCUUUUUCUUCCCUCCUCCCUCCCACUGGGCCCUUUCCUCUUUUCUACUGAUCUCCUUUCAAUUUUCAUGAAAUCCUCUGCAGCGUUCUUUUCCUUUUUCCUCUCUAGCUUCCAGGCAUGAGAGAAAAUAUACGACCUUUGACCUUCUG
rnacentral:lncRNA from 1 species